rnacentral:misc_RNA from 1 species
GAUGAAGAACUUAGCGAAAUGCGAUAAGUAAUGUGAAUUGCAGAAUUCAGUGAAUCAUCGAAUCUUUGAACGCACAUUGCGCCCGCCAGUAUUCUGGCGGGCAUGCCUGUUCGAGCGUCAUUUCAACCAUCAAGCCCCGGGCUUGUGUUGGGGACCUGCGGCUGCCGCAGGCCCUGAAAUGCAGUGGCGGGCUCGCUGUCACUCCGAGCGUAGUAGUUACAUCUCGCUCUGGGCGUGCUGCGGGUUCCGGCCGUUAAAAGCCUUAUUUACCCAAGGUUGACCUCGGAUCAGGUAGGAAGACCCGCUGAACUUAAGCAUAUCAAUAAGCGGAGGA